UGAUGUCUGGAUUAAAAAUAAAUAUUGAUAAGACUAAAGCUAUCUGGAUUGGAUCUAAAGCAGGUUGUGGUGAUAAACUAUGUCAGGAUUUGAAUAUUGAAUGGCGAAAAAUGAAUUUGUUGUUCUGGGAAUUAUACUUAAUGCUGAACUGAAGGA